rnacentral:rRNA from 1 species
AUACGGAGGGUGCAAGCAUUAAUCGGAUUUAUUGGGCGUAAAGGGCGUGUAGGCGGGAAUGAAAGUCGGAUGUGAAAUCCCAGAGCUUACCUCUGGAACUGCAUUCGAAACUUCAUUUCUUGAGGAUAGACGGAGAAAACGGAAUUCCACGUGUAGCGGUGAAAUGCGUAGAUAUGUGGAAGAACACCGGUGGCGAAGGCGGUUUUCUAGUUUAUUCCUGACGCUGAGGCGCGAAAGCAAGGGGAGCGAACAGGAUUAGAAACCCCGGUAGUCC